CCUACGGGCGGCAGCAGUGGGGAAUAUUGGACAAUGGGGGAAACCCUGAUCCAGCGACGCCGCGUGAGUGAAGAAGUAUUUCGGUACGUAAAGCUCUAUCAGCAGGAAAGAAAAUGACGGUACCUGACUAAGAAGCCCCGGCUAACUACGGCCCAGCAGCCGCGGUAAUCCGUCGGGGGCAAGCGUUAUCCGGAUGUACUGGGUGGUAAGGGCGCGUAGGCGGCAGCGCAAGUCUGGAGUGAAUUGCCGGGGCACAACCCCGGAACUGCUCUGGAAACUGUGACGCUGGAGUGCAGGAGAGGUAAGCGGAAUUCCUGGUGUAGCGGUGAAAUGCGUAGAUAUCAGGAGGAACACCGGCGGCGAAGGCGGCUUACUGGACUGUAACUGACGUUGAGGCUCGAAGGCGUGGGGAGCGAACAGGAUUAGAUACCCGUGUAGUC
rnacentral:rRNA from 1 species